rnacentral:lncRNA from 1 species
AAUGCAUAAAGCUUUUAGCAUGAAUCAAACGGAUAGCACAACAUUAGCCAUUACUGGCUCAAAUUUAAUCCAACAGAUAUGAUCACCUACACAAUUAAAAGCGCCAUAUAAUUGCGACAACAAUGAUAAAUUGACAACAGGGGACAUAGUGCUCUCACGGUCUCACCUGAUUCCAGAAACAAGUGGACAGAAGAUUGGAAAGCAUCCUGGCAAAGAAAACAUCCCUUCAUCGCCCACCACUCACAGUGAUUCCUUGUUGGAUGAGGAGAGAAGGCUACACCGUGUAUCACUGUGUACCUCUGUAAUUCCUGCAGAUCAGCGGCACAACACACUGUAUUGUCAAGAGUAAAGUUCUUGAUGCACUCUGGCAGAUAAACAAACAGGUGUGUCAUGGCCUCAUAGGUCUCACCAAGUCUACAAGGACAGUGAAGAGGCCGCUCAGGUUACACGACGUCUGGGCGUCCAGUUUCCUGGAUCAUCUCGUCGAAAAGAAAAUUCUCUCGCUCGUGUCCAGUGAGCCACCAUCGGAAGCCGGGAGCAUUACGUCGAACACCUUGCGGCCAUGGCGUCCACACGAGAGCCCGCAGAUGCCCCGACCCGCACACACG